AGAGGAGACGCCCAUGGAACGAAGUUCCAUUUAGCAUGGCGUCGACGAUGUGCCGCAGAGCGAAGCGAUGGGGCGUUACC
rnacentral:sRNA from 1 species